rnacentral:lncRNA from 1 species
CCUGUCUACAGACAAUCACCCACUGCUACCAGUUAGCAGAGAUUCUGAGAUUCUGAAUUAAAUUAAAGGAACACUCUGCAUUCCUAAAGCAUUUUAGUUUGCUGAAAUGCUUUGUGUAAGAGUGUACCCGCUUUUUUUGAUUAUACAAAAAGCGCAGAUCUCAAUAGAAAUUGACAAUUUUAUAAACAAGCCUUGUUACAUCCUCCUGGUUAUUAAUCAGACAAAUGGACCUGUAACUUCCUGGUAGUUUAGCUCAGUGGCACUAAACUAAAGAAGCAGGCAGCAGCUUCAUUUGGGGCAUAUCUACAAAACAGGCAUUUUUAUAUAUAUAUUUUUUUUUAUUAUUUAGCAAGUGGAGUGUCCAUUUAAUACAUGAAAUUCUAUCUAUGGCCCUCACCCAUUAUGAUUAGGGAAACUCAAAUCAUUAAUAUUCACAGUUUCUCUUCCAUAUGCUCUCCACAAAACUGACAGUAGAUGCUCCUAAACAAGCAAAGAGAUAAACCGCAAAAUCCUAUAAAUUAUAAAAUGAAAAAGAUAAUGAUGCAGUACCACCUGUGUGCGUAAAAUGGUCCUCACAAACACAAGUAUUAGAGGGUCUUCAAUAUAAAUCAAUUUUCUUCAUAUCUCCAUAGUUCAUCAAUCCUCAGCAGAAUAAGGAUAAGAACCUCAAUAGAAUGAAAUGAGAUACAAAUAGUGCAUGAAGGCAAACAAAUGAAAUCAUCAGUGCAUUUAAUAUAUACAUAACGUAAAACAUAGAGAAGUAUGUAAAUAACUUCACCGGUGAUGAGGUCACACAAUGCUUCCUGCCCAACGCAUUUCAUCACUCUUGUUAGUACAUACUCCUGCCUGAUCAUCUGUUAUACAGAUGUGAGUGGCACUCAGAGUAAAAUGACGUAUAUCUCCCACAAUAUAUGCCUGUUUUUCUGUGCUCAGGUCUCCUGUAUCCUGCUUCUGAUAAAGAAGCAUUUUUCUUUUUUUCAUUUUAAUUUUUCAGGACAUGUAUUCUAGAAAGAUUAACUGCUCUAUAUUGCCAGACACAAAACAAUGCCCUAAAUAAAGCCGGGCUCUCUUUAAUAACUUUUUUUGUAUUUCAACAAACAAUCAUAGAAUAGAAACGAGGCAACAGCCUUAAACUCGAUGGGGAACCUUAAAUUUGAUGUGGAACAUUCCAUCAUUGAAAAAAAAUAACGAAAACAAUUUAAUGCAAAUUCACUCUUUAAAUAAAUGUUGCCCAAUAUGAGUGAUUUGGUUUCAUUCCACUGCAUUGCCACUUUGUAUAAUAUCACAGUCCCCCUUAUGUACAUUAAUUCGAUUAUGUAUUCUUUGUGCACAUAUUUUCCCAGGAUUAUACUCUCUAGCAGAAAGCACAGCAGAUGCAGCAUUUAUUCCCAUGACUUUACAGUCGAAGCCCAGUUGAAGAUCCUAUUUUAUCACUACACCAACAUCAGUGAACUGUGAAUUGAAUUUUCUCAGCUCCUGAGUACCUGAGGGUUCAUGAGCCAGACGUGGAUAAUUUGCAGAUUUACAAAGUUUGAUAAGCUACUUUCCUCACUGUUGCUCGGAUAUUGCAAAGAAAAACAACCUAUAGAGCCACCUACAUGGUUUACUGACGUGAGAAUUGUUGGGAAUUCAAAAUGAAAUUCAAAUUUUAUAUCAAAAUAGUUGAACUGCAAGCAUAGCUAACUUGGCUGAUUUGUCCAAUUCAGCUACAUUAUCUGUAAAAGGACACUCAAGCUUGCUUUAUGUGUAAAUAGUGUGUCCUCUUUUCAAUUGACAAAAAGUGCAGAUCUCAAUAGAAAUUAACCUUGUUACACCCCCCUGGCUGUCAAUCAGACAACAGGUCCUGUCACUUCCUGGUUUGGUUAUCUCAGUGGAGAUAAACUCAAGAGGCAGCAUUUGCCCAGAGAACCUGCCUUGCAAAGACGUCUCAUUGAACUGCAUUGGGAAGUCUGUGAUUGGACAGCCACAGAAAGUUUGGGCGGGGUUAGAAGGGGAGGGCUUGCAAAAAGUUUCAUACAAGAAAUAUGCAGCUUUUGCAAGUUGUUUUUAAAUGUACACCAGAUUAAAAAAAAGCAUUAUGAAAUGCAUUUAUGUUUUCAUUCGAGGUAUGUCUACUAAACAGGGUUUUUUACUUUUUUUAUUUGGGCAGUGGCGUGUCACUUUUAAAUUUUUGGUUUACGUUGAAUUCACUUUGAAUUGCUGACAUUUCUUUACUUUAGUAAAUAACCCUUCUUAUUGGGUGAAAUGUAUUUUAACUUUGUUUUAACAAAAAAAACAUAGACAUUCCACCAUCUGCUCCUUUUUAAUAUUUUGACCUAACAUGCUAACAAAGUUUAAUAUAAUACAGAUAGUACAGAUAAUAUACAAUAUGACCUAUUUGCUAACUUUUCAUUUAUAUUUCUUUUUAGUUGGCAAUGCAUAUAUUGCAC